AGCAGAAAUGAUGACGGAUGAUGAUGGCAGCAGCAGCCGUUCUCCUCUGCGUAAAUCCUGCAAAAACAUCAAACUGGAGAGCCAGAGCCAGCGUGAUACAUCGAAGUGUGGCUCUGGCCUCAGGACCCCCGGAGUCUUCAUACAGUCCACCAGGCAGAUAGAGAGGUGCUUGCAGCCCAGCACCGAUGGACUGCUGACCGACUCCAUGAUUGCCC